GGAAUAUUGGACAAUGGGGGCAACCCUGAUCCAGCAAUGCCGCGUGAGUGAAGAAGGCCUUAGGGUUGUAAAGCUCUUUCGGCGGGGACGAUGAUGACGGUACCCGCAGAAGAAGCCCCGGCUCACUCCGUGCCAGCAGCCGCGGUAAUACGGAGGGGGCUAGCGUUGUUCGGAAUUACUGGGCGUAAAGGGCGCGCAGGCGGCGGUUCAAGUCGGGCGAGAAAGGCCUGGGCUCAACCCGGGAAUGGCGCUCGAGACUGGACUGCUCGAGUCCGGGAGAGGAUGGUGGAAUUCCCAGUGUAGAGGUGAAAUUCGUAGAUAUUGGGAAGAACACCGGUGGCGAAGGCGGCCAUCUGGACCGGUACUGACGCUGAGGCGCGAAAGCGUGGGGAGCAA
rnacentral:rRNA from 1 species